rfam:Schistosoma haematobium scaffold1476_12, whole genome shotgun sequence.
AUCCAGUUGACGAGUCCCAAAUAAAACGAAACGUGUGUCCUGGAU